CCUACGGGAGGCUGCAGUAGGGAAUAUUGCGCAAUGGGGGCAACCCUGACGCAGCGACGCCGCGUGAGUGAUGAAGGUCUUCGGAUCGUAAAACUCUGUCUUCAGGGAAGAAAACAAUGACGGUACCUGAGGAGGAAGCCCCGGCUAACUACGUGCCAGCAGCCGCGGUAAUACGUAGGGGGCGAGCGUUGUCCGGAAUUAUUGGGCGUAAAGGGUGCGUAGGCGGUCUUUUAAGUCAGAUGUGAAAGGCCACAGCUUAACUGUGGAAUUGCAUUUGAAACUGGGGGACUUGAGUAUCGGAGAGGGUAGUGGAAUUCCUGGUGUAGCGGUGAAAUGCGUAGAUAUCAGGAGGAACACCAGUGGCGAAGGCGACUACCUGGACGAAAACUGACGCUGAGGCACGAAAGCUAGGGUAGCAAACAGGAUUAGAUACCCUGGUAGUC
rnacentral:rRNA from 1 species